AGCGAACGCUGGCGGCAGGCCUAACACAUGCAAGUCGAACGAACUCUUCGGAGUUAGUGGCGGACGGGUGAGUAACACGUGGGAACGUGCCUUUAGGUUCGGAAUAACUCAGGGAAACUUGUGCUAAUACCGAAUGUGCCCUUCGGGGGAAAGAUUUAUCGCCUUUAGAGCGGCCCGCGUCUGAUUAGCUAGUUGGUGAGGUAAAGGCUCACCAAGGCGACGAUCAGUAGCUGGUCUGAGAGGAUGAUCAGCCACAUUGGGACUGAGACACGGCCCAAACUCCUACGGGAGGCAGCAGUGGGGAGUCUUGCGCAAUGGGCGAAAGCCUGACGCAGCCAUGCCGCGUGAAUGAUGAAGGUCUUAGGAUUGUAAAAUUCUUUCACCGGGGACGAUAAUGACGGUACCCGGUGAAGAAGCCCCGGCUAACUUCGUG
rnacentral:rRNA from 1 species